GGCCGGUUAGCUCAGUUGGUUAGAGCGCCGUGCUCAUAACACGGGGGCUGCUGGUUCAAUCCCCGCAUGGGCCA